GUGCUCACCUCGGCAGCACAUAGACUAAAACUGGGACGAUACAGAAAUUAGCAUGGCCCCUGCGCAAGGAUGACGUGCAACAUUCAUGAAAUGCUCCAUAUUUGC